rnacentral:rRNA from 1 species
UACAGAGGGUGCAAGCGUUGUCCGGAAUUACUGGGCGUAAAGAGCGCGUAGGUGGCGCUGUACGACUGGUGUGAAAGCCCCCGGCUCAACUGGGGAGGGUCAUCGGUAACGGCAGUGCUUGAGUGCAGGAGAGGGACGUGGAACUCCGGGAGUAGCGGUGAAAUGCGUAGAGACCCGGAGGAACACCAGUGGCGAAGGCGGCGUCCUGGUCUGCAACUGACGCUGUGGCGCGAAAGCUAGGGGAGCGAACGGG